rnacentral:rRNA from 1 species
CCUACGGGUGGCAGCAGUGGGGAAUAUUGGACAAUGGGGGCAACCCUGAUCCAGCAAUGCCGCGUGAGUGAUGAAGGCCUUCGGGUUGUAAAGCUCUUUUGCCAGGGACGAUGAUGACGGUACCUGGAGAAUAAGCCCCGGCUAACUUCGUGCCAGCAGCCGCGGUAAUACGAAGGGGGCAAGCGUUGUUCGGAAUUACUGGGCGUAAAGGGCGCGUAGGCGGCUUAUCAAGUCAGGCGUGAAAUUCCCGGGCUCAACCUGGGGGCUGCGCUUGAUACUGAUGAGCUUGAAUGCGGGAGAGGAUAGUGGAAUUCCCAGUGUAGAGGUGAAAUUCGUAGAUAUUGGGAAGAACACCGGUGGCGAAGGCGGCUAUCUGGCCCGUAAUUGACGCUGAGGCGCGAAAGCGUGGGGAGCAAACAGGAUUAGAUACCCUAGUAGUC